UACGUAGGGGGCAAGCGUUGUCCGGAAUCAUUGGGCGUAAAGAGCUCGUAGGCGGUUUGUCGCGUCUGCUGUGAAAACUGGAGGCUCAACCUCCAGCCUGCAGUGGGUACGGGCAAACUAGAGUGCGGUAGGGGAGAUUGGAAUUCCUGGUGUAGCGGUGGAAUGCGCAGAUAUCAGGAGGAACACCGAUGGCGAAGGCAGAUCUCUGGGCCGUAACUGACGCUGAGGAGCGAAAGCGUGGGGAGCAAACAGG
rnacentral:rRNA from 1 species